GUGCAGUCGGUGAUUACAGUCCCUGCUCAGUGAUAGCUGGGGAUAAUAAUAAUUAUUAUUAUUAUUAUCCCCAGCUAUCACUGAGCAGGGACUGUAAUCACUGUCUGCGCU